AGAAGCCCAGCAAACAGCCUACGUUGCUCGUCUGCUUUGUCCUGAACGCAGCGACUACUCCGUCUUUGAUCUGCCGCCAGCAGAGCCAACCCGCCCGGCCGCCCGGAGCCACCGCCGGACCGCCCUGACGCCAAGCGGCCAGCCAGCCCCCUCGCCGCCCGGCCGGCUGCUACCCGAACUGCCGGAGCCGCCCAAUCCGCUCAGGUGCUAAGCCCGUCAGCUUCUUCCGAGAGAGCUUCUCUAGUCCUUCGCGCUCCUUGGGUUCACGGGAGUCGGGAGACUGGACGCGUGCAGCAGCCCCGAUUUCAGUUUAUCCCGAGACUGAAGUCAGAAUUAUUGAAGAAUGAAGAGGACCACGGACAUUCAAAAAACGAGGACCACCCUGAUUUUAAAUCCUAGCUCCGCCACUGGCGAGGCGUUCCUGCGGA